CUGUCAUGUUGCCAAUGAUGCAUUUUUGUUGAAUGAACAGUGAUUAAAUACAGUUUCGUCACUACCACUGAGGCAACAAAUAG